CCCUUAGAUGUUCUGGGCCGCACGCGCGCUACACUGAUGCAUUCAACGAGCCUAUCCUUGACCGACAGGUCCGGGUAAUCUUUGAAUCUGCAUCGUGACGGGGAUAGAUUAUUGCAAUUAUUAAUCUUCAACGAGGAAUGCCUAGUAGGCGCAAGUCAUCAGCUUGCGUCGAUUACGUCCCUGCCCUUUGUACACACCGCCCGUCGCACCUACCGAUUGAACGUUCCGGUGAGACCUUAGGAUUUUGGUCUAUUUCAUUUAUUUGAGAUUUACUAGAAGAAUUUGAGCAAACCUUAACGUUUAGAGGAAGGUGAAGUCGUAACA
rnacentral:rRNA from 1 species